rnacentral:rRNA from 1 species
UACGAAGGGGGCUAGCGUUGCUCGGAAUUACUGGGCGUAAAGGGCUCGUAGGCGGCCAACUAAGUCGGAUGUGAAAUCCCCAGGCUCAACCUGGGAACUGCAUCCGAUACUGGAUGGCUUGAAUCCGGGAGAGGGAUGCAGAAUUCCAGGUGUAGCGGUGAAAUGCGUAGAUAUCUGGAGGAAUACCGGUGGCGAAGGCGGCAUCCUGGACCGGCAUUGACGCUGAGGAGCGAAAGCCAGGGGAGCAAACGGG